rnacentral:lncRNA from 1 species
GUCACACACAAGCUUACGGUUUGUUAUCUGCCAAUGGGGCUUUAAAUAUUGAUCAUUUCUGUACAUGCAUCUUCGUGAUAUUUCUGAUUUUCUUGAUAAAUCAUCAUUUCAGGGUUACUUUGCUUUCAGCUAUGAGGUAGCUACUAGGACUGGGACCCCGCUUUUUUCUUCUGGAAUUUCCUGAACUGGGACUGUAUCGCCACGGCCGCCCGCUCUGUCUCUGGCGCAUCCAUGUCUAUGUCAAAUUCCUCUUGAACUUUCUUUUGUCCAUCGUUCUCACCAGAUGUCUUAUCUUUUCCAUUUGUAGCUCCGGUUCCUUGUCUCUCGCUCAUCUCGCCCGGCAGCCCCACACGCACACACCCGCCCGCACCCCUAAC